rnacentral:rRNA from 1 species
UACGUAGGGGGCAAGCGUUGUCCGGAUUUAUUGGGCGUAAAGAGUGUGUAGGCGGUGCUCUAAGUUCGGUGUGAAAUCUCCCGGCUUAACUGGGAGGGUGCGCCGGAAACUGGAGUGCUUGAGCGCGGGAGAGGAAAGCGGAAUUCCUGGUGUAGCGGUGAAAUGCGUAGAUAUCAGGAGGAACACCUGUGGUGUAGACGGCUUUCUGGACCGUAGCUGACGCUGAGACACGAAAGCGUGGGUAGCAAACAGG